rnacentral:SRP_RNA from 1 species
GCUGGGUGUGGUGGUGGGCGCCUGUAGUCCCAGCUACUUGGGAGGCUGAGGCAGGAGAAUCGCUUGAACCCAGGAGGUAGAGGUUGCAGUGAGCUGAGAUCACGCCACUGCACUCCAUCCUGGGCAACAGAGUGAGACUCUGUCUCCA